GAUGAAGAACGUAGCGAAAUGCGAUAAGUAAUGUGAAUUGCAGAAUUCAGUGAAUCAUCGAAUCUUUGAACGCACAUUGCGCCUGCCAGCAAUCUGGCGGGCAUGCCUGUUCGAGCGUCAUUUCAACCCUCGAGCCCCCCCGGGGGCCUCGGUGUUGGGGGACGGCACACCAGCCGCCCCCGAAAUGCAGUGGCGACCCCGCCGCAGCCUCCCCUGCGUAGUAGCACACACCUCGCACCGGAGCGCGGAGGCGGUCACGCCGUAAAACGCCCAACUUUCUUAGAGUUGACCUCGGAUCAGGUAGGAAUACCCGCUGAACUUAAGCAUAUCAAUAAGCGGAGGA
rnacentral:misc_RNA from 1 species